GAUUAUAGGACUUCAUAGCUAUGCUCAUCUUUUCCGUGGGUGCUGGGAUCAAACUAAAGUCCUCCUGCUUGUGUGGCAGGCACUUUCCUAGCCUCUGAUUUUACUUUCAAGGCAGUCUCUUACCAACUUCUCUCAUUACCGUGGCAAAAUAUGUGACUAGACAUGCCUUAAGGGAAGAAUCUAGAUUAUGGUUUCCUUGACUUCAGUUCACUGUUUUUGCUUCCAUCGAUCAUGGUAAUGGGAGCAUAUGGAGGAGUCUGCUCAAUUUAUGUUGGGUAGGAAGUGGAUAUUAAAGAAGGGACCAGGGACCUUCAGAGGUGCACCCCCAGUGACUUGUUUCCUUCAGCUAGGCCCUGUUCUCUUAAAAGUCCUUCCACCUUCCCAGUUGGCAUCACUGACUGGGCACCUGAGCCUGUGGAGGACUUCUCAUAUUCAAGCCGUAGCCAAGGAAACCGAGGAGUAAAAUGAAACAUGCUUAAGGACAAUGGGGGCGAGCUUAUAGAAAGAGGGACUGGCAGGCAGUAGCAGGAGCAAAUCCCGCCACAGGAAGACCACUGAAAAGGGAUCUCGAGUCCCCAACCCAGAACGAUGGGAGGGACAAGGUUUAUUAUAAGAGAUGAGGAGAAGGGGGAAGUUGGCAGUCGUACAGAUUUGGUGAGGGGUUGUUACUGCUAUUCUCUCCUAGGUAAAGUGGUUGGGGUCAUCUGCUGAGGGAGGAUUAGAGCAACAGAGCUGCAGGGUGGAUUGGCACACAGGGUCAGGAGAGAACCAACUCCAGAAGCCAGGGAAGGCUGCAGAGGUCAGAGAUGAUGUCUGAGAAGCUACUGAAUGUCAGCCAGUCGGAAGCUCGGCAUGAGGAGUGUGAUGUCCUUGUCAACUUGGCCAGCCUUACAAUCCCCUAGAAGACACAUUCUGGUGGAGGUCUUCCAAGGGAAGUUUAACUGGAGAAGAGUGUAGCGACUCCAUCCCACAGACUAUGCUUUUGUAGUGACUGGAACCUGGAAAAGGAGAGAACCAGAUGACUGCCAGAGAACCUGUUACUGACUGAGCUGGCUCCAUCCCAACUCCCUCUCAAACAGUGAGACAAAAUAAAUCCUUCCCUUCUUUGCUUCUUCUCCUUCA